UAUCCUAAUUCUAAGUUAAUAAUUUUUGUUGGCAGGACAGUUUAGUUGGGGCGACUACCUUUGAAUAAGAAACGAAGGCGAGCUUAUGGUAUUAUUAAAAUCUCAUUAGCCUGACAGUGAGGGGGACACUCCUAGCUGGCACAAGGACCACAUAUUAAUAUGGGGCUCCUAUGUGGGCGAUAGUGACCCGAUAUGAUUAUCCAAGAUAAAUAUCGAAAGCGGAUAAAAGCUACCGUAGGGAUAACAGCGUAAUAUUGUCGGAGAGUUCUUAUCGAGGACAGUGUUUGCGACCUCGAUGUUGAAUUGCGGUGCCCUGGUGCUGUAGAAGGUACCUUAGGUUGGUCUGUUCGACCAUGAAAACCGUACGUGAUCUGAGUUCAGACCGG
rnacentral:rRNA from 1 species